UACGUAGGGGGCAAGCGUUGUCCGGAUUUAUUGGGCGUAAAGAGCGUGUAGGCGGUCAGGUAGGUCCGUUGUGAAAACUCGAGGCUCAACCUCGAGACGCCGAUGGAAACCAUCUGACUAGAGUCCGGAAGAGGAGAGUGGAAUUCCUGGUGUAGCGGUGAAAUGCGCAGAUAUCAGGAAGAACACCCGUGGCUAAGGCGGCUCUCGUAGUAGCGGUACUGACGCUGAGACGCGGAAAGCGUGGGGAGCGAACCGG
rnacentral:rRNA from 1 species